rnacentral:rRNA from 1 species
GUCUUGUAAUUGGAAUGAUGGUGACCUAAACCCUCACCAGAGUAACAAUUGGAGGGCAAGUCUGGUGCCAGCAGCCGCGGUAAUUCCAGCUCCAAUAGCGUAUAUUAAACUUGUUGCAGUUAAAAAGCUCGUAGUUGAAUUUUUGCGUGGUGUUAAUAUUGACUAAUGUCGAGAUUGCACUUCGCUUUUGGGAUUUAUCCCUUUUUACUUUGAGAAAAUUAGAGUGUUUCAAGCAGACUUUUGUCUUGAAUACUUCAGCAUGGAAUAAUAGAGUAGGACUUUGGUUCUAUUUUGUUGGUUUGUGAACCUUAGUAAUGGUUAAUAGGAACGGUUGGGGGCAUUCGUAUUUAACUGUCAGAGGUGAAAUUCUUAGAUUUGUUAAAGACGAACUACUGCGAAAGCAUUUGCCAAGGACGUUUUCAUAAUCAAGAACGAAAGU